CCUACGGGAGGCAGCAGUGGGGAAUAUUGCACAAUGGGGGAAACCCUGAUGCAGCGACGCCGCGUGAAGGAAGAAGUAUUUCGGUAUGUAAACUUCUAUCAGCAGGGAAGAAAAUGACGGUACCUGACUAAGAAGCCCCUGCUAACUACGUACCAGCAGCCACGGUAAUACGUAGGGGGCAAGCGUUAUCCGGAUUUACUGGGUGUAAAGGGAGCGUAGGCGGUUUAGCAAGUCAGAAGUGAAAGCCCGGGGCUCAACUCCGGGACUGCUUUUGAAACUGUUGAACUAGAGUGCAGGAGAGGUGAGUGGAAUUCCUAGUGUAGCGGUGAAAUGCGUAGAUAUUAGGAGGAACACCAGUGGCGAAGGCGGCUUACUGGACUGUAAAUGACGCUGAGGCUCGAAAGCGUGGGGAGCAAACAGGAUUAGAUACCCGUGUAGUC
rnacentral:rRNA from 1 species